UACGUAGGGGGCAAGCGUUGUCCGGAUUUAUUGGGCGUAAAGAGCGUGUAGGCGGCCAGGUAGGUCAGCUGUGAAAACUCGAGGCUCAACCUCGAGACGCCGGUUGAAACCAUCUGGCUAGAGUCCGGAAGAGGAGACUGGAAUUUACGGUGUAGCGGUGAAAUGCGUAGAUAUCGUAAGGAAGACCAGUGGCGAAGGCGGGUCUCUGGACAGUUCCUGACGCUGAGGCACGAAGGUCAGGGGAGCAAACGGG
rnacentral:rRNA from 1 species